GCUCCAGUGGCCUAGUGGUUAGAGCAUCUGCCUUGGAUGCAGGAGGUCGUGGGUUCAAUUCCCGGUUGAGUCA